GACGAACGCUGGCGGCGCGCCUAACACAUGCAAGUCGAACGGAGCUGAGAGAAGCUUGCUUUUCUUAGCUUAGUGGCGAACGGGUGAGUAACGCGUGAGUAACCUGCCCUGGAGUGGGGGACAACAGUUGGAAACGACUGCUAAUACCGCAUAAGCCCACGAUCCGGCAUCGGAUUGAGGGAAAAGGAUUUAUUCGCUUCAGGAUGGACUCGCGUCCAAUUAGCUAGUUGGUGAGGUAACGGCCCACCAAGGCGACGAUUGGUAGCCGGACUGAGAGGUUGGACGGCCACAUUGGGACUGAGACACGGCCCAGACUCCUACGGGAAGCAGCAGUGGGGGAUAUUGCACAAUGGGGGAAACCCUGAUGCAGCGACGCCGCGUGGAGGAAGAAGGUUUUCGGAUUGUAAACUCCUGUCGUUAGGGACGAUAAUGACGGUACCUAACAAGAAAGCACCGGCUAACUACGUG
rnacentral:rRNA from 1 species